GUUGUGAUGUCACAAUGUCACAGUCAAAGUGCCCAAGCAGCGGCCAAACUGGCUCAUUCUUGAUCAGGUGACUGAGGUAGGUGGAGCUCUAGGGGUGUUGGUGCCAACGUUAGCAGGAAUAAGAGAUAAUAAUAACGAAUCAGUUUAAUACUGGCGCUGUGGGGGCUUUGGUGUAUUGUUUUUUCGAAAUGGCACAAAAAUUCGGAAACAAUUUGUCAAAAAAAAUUGACGGACAUGAAAAGAAAUGUUGCGCGUCGUGUUUCUGACCCACACAGCAAUUUUUUUGACAGUUUCACUCAUUUUUCACUCACUAAUUACUGUAACUAAAGGGAUAUUUCUGUUUGUCUCCAUAGAGAGAAAGUGAGAGAAAAUGUUUCGGCGUUUACUUUCGUUUUUGCCUUGCGUGCCGAGGAAAAAACGGAAUAAACCCCCGAGAGAAUUUCUUGCGAUUGAAAAAGAUGAAGCCGAUGUGGUCGUCGUGGUAAGCAGGGAGGAACUGGUUAACACAAUAUAAUGAUCACACUUUGCUCACUAUUUGUGCUUUUCCAGCCAUUUCAUUUACUAUUAUUUUUGGCCAUUUUUGCUCGUUUAUUCUUGUAAUAAAACAUGAUUUUAUCCUUCCUAGAACCACCAAGACGAACCCGCCGGCGACAUCAUUGUG